rnacentral:rRNA from 1 species
CCCUUAGAUGUUCUGGGCCGCACGCGCGCUACACUGUUCGACGCAGCGAGUCUUAACCUUGACCGAAAGGUUUGGGUAAUCUUCAGCAAAGUCGAACGUGAUGGGGAUCGAUCAUUGCAAUUAUUGAUCGUGAACGAGGAAUUCCUAGUAAGUGCAAGUCAUCAGCUUGCGCUGAUUACGUCCCUGCCCUUUGUACACACCGCCCGUCGCUACUACCGAUUGAAUGGUUUAGUGAGAUCUCUGGAUUGACGCUGGCUAGGGGGCGACCCUUGGCCAGACUGUUGAGAAACUGCUCAAACUUGAUCAUUUAGAGGAAGUGAAAGUCGUAACA